CUCAAAGAUUCGAGCCUGCAGCAGGUUCGAGUUGAGCGCAGCGAUACAACGGAGCCGCUCGCGGCGACGGCCCGAAGGGCGAGCGAAGCGAGUCAUCCUGCACGACCCACCA
rnacentral:sRNA from 1 species